UGCAAGUCGAACGGCAGCACGGAGCUUGCUCUGGUGGCGAGUGGCGAACGGGUGAGUAAUAUAUCGGAACGUACCCUAGAGUGGGGGAUAACGUAGCGAAAGUUACGCUAAUACCGCAUACGAUCUAAGGAUGAAAGUGGGGGAUCGCAAGACCUCAUGCUCGUGGAGCGGCCGAUAUCUGAUUAGCUAGUUGGUAGGGUAAAAGCCUACCAAGGCAUCGAUCAGUAGCUGGUCUGAGAGGACGACCAGCCACACUGGAACUGAGACACGGUCCAGACUCCUACGGGAGGCAGCAGUGGGGAAUUUUGGACAAUGGGCGAAAGCCUGAUCCAGCAAUGCCGCGUGAGUGAAGAAGGCCUUCGGGUUGUAAAGCUCUUUUGUCAGGGAAGAAAUGGUGAGAGCUAAUAUCUUUUGCUAAUGACGGUACCUGAAGAAUAAGCACCGGCUAACUACGUGCCAGCAGCCGCGGUAAUACGUAGGGUGCAAGCGUUAAUCGGAAUUACUGGGCGUAAAGCGUGCGCAGGCGGUUUUGUAAGUCUGAUGUGAAAUCCCCGGGCUCAACCUGGGAAUUGCAUUGGAGACUGCAAGGCUAGAAUCUGGCAGAGGGGGGUAGAAUUCCACGUGUAGCAGUGAAAUGCGUAGAUAUGUGGAGGAACACCGAUGGCGAAGGCAGCCCCCUGGGUCAAGAUUGACGCUCAUGCACGAAAGCGUGGGGAGCAAACAGGAUUAGAUACCCUGGUAGUCCACGCCCUAAACGAUGUCUACUAGUUGUCGGGUCUUAAUUGACUU
rnacentral:rRNA from 1 species